GGACUACCGGGGUAUCUAAUCCCGUUUGCUCCCCUGGCUUUCGCGCCUCAGCGUCAGAAGAGGUCCAGCACGUCGCUUUCGCCACCGGCGUUCCUUCCGAUAUCUACGCAUUUCACCGCUCCACCGGAAGUUCCACAUGCCCCUACCUCCCUCCAGCAACGCAGUAUCCAAGGCCCUUUUCCGGUUAAGCCGAAAGCUUUCACCCCGGACUUGCAUUGCCGCCUACGCGCCCUUUAAGCCCAGUGAAUCCGAACAACGUUCGCACGGUUCGUCUUACCGCGGCGGCUGGCAC
rnacentral:rRNA from 3 species